AUUGAACGCUGGCGGCAUGCCUUACACAUGCAAGUCGAACGGCAGCACGGGAGCUUGCUCCUGGUGGCGAGUGGCGAACGGGUGAGUAAUGCAUCGGAACGUGCCCUGAAGUGGGGGAUAACGUAGCGAAAGUUACGCUAAUACCGCAUAUUCUGUGAGCAGGAAAGCAGGGGAUCUUCGGACCUUGCGCUUUUUGGAGCGGCCGAUGUCGGAUUAGCUAGUUGGUGGGGUAAAGGCCCACCAAGGCGACGAUCCGUAGCGGGUCUGAGAGGAUGAUCCGCCACACUGGAACUGAGACACGGUCCAGACUCCUACGGGAGGCAGCAGUGGGGAAUUUUGGACAAUGGGCGCAAGCCUGAUCCAGCCAUGCCGCGUGAGUGAAGAAGGCCUC
rnacentral:rRNA from 1 species